AAAAUUAUUGCAUCACAUCCCUUAAGGAGAACAUCAAUAUGUUGAAGAGCUGCUUUUAGUGGCCAUAAGCAAAACAGCAUUACUCCCUUAUGUUUUGCAAUUUUGGGUUUUUUUGAAAUUUGGUUUUGGUUUUUGUUUUUCUUAGCUAGAAAACACGCAGUUGUGUGUUACCUUUCCCUUCUGAUUUUUUGAUAUUUUCUUGUUCUGUGCUUUUGUUGGUUUUUG
rnacentral:misc_RNA from 1 species